AGACUCACCGAGUCAACACAAAAGUCAAACUUCCAACACGUUUCUAAAUUCUAAAGGAAUUUUCCACAACGUAAAAAAAAAUGAUUCGAAAUUUGAUUUAUUCUGCAUCAUUUGGAUUCGACCCUGAAAUUGUCCCCGACAAUGGAGCUUCUACAGCCCGAGCACCCGCCCGAUCUCUACCCGACCCGGGACCGGCUUCGUGUGUUGUCGUCUCCGUCGAGGCUAAUCUCGCCGGAGACGGCGGAGGUAGACGCCCUCCGGGGAAACAAAUCAGACGAAGUGUACGUACUUGUCGGAAAGAGCGCCGACAAAGCUCCGAGCUUGCUCCAAUUGGAGGCUCAAGCAAUUCGCUGGCUGCGAAAUCUGUUUUGCUUCACAUUGACCAACUUUCUCAUCUGAUCCCAACUUUGUGUACGCACGUCUCUGUUCUUCGCCCCCUCUCUCUCCGUACGCAAACAUGUUAUAUAAGCAAAUCGUCGAUGAGCUUCGAUUCAAAUCGUUGAAAUUCUGUGCUCUGGUUGUAGCCAAUGGAUCACUAAGACAGAGAGACGCACAAAAGAAAAGAAAAAAAGGUCAUCUCUUUUGUCUGCAGAGAACGAGUUCUUAGAAUCUGAGAACUGAUGUUUGUUCCUGCAGUUUGGGAAAGUCAAGCUAACAGUGAAUUGGUAAAAUGCAAACAGAAGGGAAGGAAGGGAAAAAAAGAUGAGUUUCUUCUCUUGGAUAUUUACUCGAGGGGGCCAAGGUGAUUAACAUUGUCUUUCUAUGCAUUACUCUUGUCUUCUGCAACUAGUUUGAGGAAUGAGUGUUGUCUGAAUCACGUGUGACCUUAUUGUAAGUGAAGCUGACUAAGCGUUGAAUAUUGUAUGCAUACAUACGGGUUGAGUACUUGCAUAUGUGUGUAUAUGCACACAUGCUUUUCUCGGUGGUUUUAGGAUUA